GGGGAAUAUUGGACAAUGGGCGAAAGCCUGAUCCAGCAAUGCCGCGUGUGUGAAGAAGGCCUUAGGGUUGUAAAGCACUUUCAGCAGGGAGGAAAAGCAUGGGGAUAAUACCUCCAUGUCUUGACGUAACCUGCAGAAGAAGCACCGGCUAACUCCGUGCCAGCAGCCGCGGUAAUACGGAGGGUGCGAGCGUUAAUCGGAAUUACUGGGCGUAAAGCGCGCGUAGGCGGUUUGAGGAGUCGGGUGUGAAAGCCCCGGGCUUAACCUGGGAAUUGCAUUCGAUACUGUCAGGCUAGAGUAUGGUAGAGGAAAGCGGAAUUCCACAUGUAGCGGUGAAAUGCGUAGAUAUGUGGAGGAACACCAGUGGCGAAGGCGGCUUUCUGGACCAAUACUGACGCUGAGGUGCGAAAGCGUGGGGAGCAAAC
rnacentral:rRNA from 1 species